GUAUGUUUGUUUGUAUGUACCUACAUACCAGGGAUGCCAACCCUCCGUCUUUUUACGUAGAUCUCCGUAUUUUAAAGGAGAUCUACGUGUCUACGUGUAAUGAGACUAAAACUACGUACUUUUAAAAAAUAUUGUAAAAUACCCUAAAAACUAAAAUUUUUGAGUAAUAUCAAUAUAUUGUGUAUUAAAUAAAAAAUAAAAUAUGAUUUAUAUUGGGUUAGCAGCACUAAAAUAUGCGAAACCCUUUUUAAAUGGGUUAGCAGCGCUAAAUUGCAAAAAGAUUGGCAUGGCUUACUUUCAAUUUUGUGCUUGAAAUUGGAGGGAAAGAAACUAAUGUGAAUGUAAAAAAAUGGAUUUUUUAACAAGUGACACCGACGAAGAAGCAAACGUAACUCCGACAAAGAAAAUGAAAGUGCACUACGAUGUGAAGUACUCAGCAGCUUGGGAAAAAACGUAUUCCUGGUUGACGAAAAGCAGUAAGGGCAUCGAUCAACCAACAAUAUUAUCUUUAUUGCCUGAGGCGUCAACGUCUUAUAAAAAUAUGGUUAAAUGUGCUGAAAUUAAGAUGGCAUUCUUUUUGGCGAAAAACAAUCUUCCCUUUAGUUUGGCGGAAGAUUUAAGCAGUGUCAUACAAUCUGUUGCUAGUGAUUCAAAAAUCGUAGGUUCAUUAAAAUUUGGACGGACAAAGGCUCAAGCUAUAAUAACAUCGGUAACUGGACAAUUGGCAGAGGACGAGUUAAUAGAACGUUUAAAAUCGAAUAAGUUUUCGCUUAUUGUCGAUGAAAGUACAGACAGAUCUACAACGAAACAUUUUGCUCUUAUUGCAAGAACUGCAGUGGCAUUUAAAGUACAAGAUAGCUUUUUGGGUCUUAUUGCAGUCACUGACAGCUCUGCCACGGCAUUGCAUAAUGAAUGCAAGAAAUUUUUUGAAGAAAGGCACAUAUGAUAUGAGCAGAACAUGAUAGGAUUCGCUGCGCAUGGAUGCAAUGCAAUGUUUGGCCAAAACCAUUCUCUUUCGCAACUGCUGAAGAAGGAUAUUCCUAAUUUGUUUUUGAUUAAAUGUAUAUGUCAUUCAUUUCACCUCUGCGCGUCUUAUGCUUGCAAAAAAUUGCCAAAAAAAAGUGGAAGAAUUUGCAAGAGAUGUAUAUAACUUUAUAUCAAAAAGCCCAAAACGUAUCGGAGACUAUAAGGAGUUUUAGUCUUUCGUUAAUGUGAAACCACACAAACUUUUACAUAUUGGACAAUCAAGGUGGCUAUCUCUGCUUCAAGUAGUUGAAAGGCUGUUAGAACAACUUCCUGCGUUAAAACUGUAUUUUCAAGGAGCUGUAUUGAAUGACCAGUUAAAAUAUGCAGAGCCGAUUCUCCAAAUGUGUUUAGAUUCGACGACAGAACUGUAUUUGGAGUUUCUGAAAUUUGUGCUACCGUAUUUCAACAAUUUAAACAAGGAAAUGCAGUCAGAAAGUCCAAAAUUGUAUUUGCUUUACGAAAAUGUUCUUGCAGUUUACAAGACAAUAGUUGAGUGCUUUCUAAAAUCUGAUUUUUUAUUAUUACCUGAUGAAGAAUUAAUAAAAAUUGAUUUCGCUAACGAAGAUAACCACUUGCCCUUAAAAAAUAUGUAUUUCGGAGGAAACUUUGCGGCUUUGUUGACAAAAAAAACAUAACCUGGAACGAGAUGAAAUCAUCGAGAUUCAAAACUCUUGCCUUCAAUUUUAUAUUGAAAGUUUAAGGCAACUACAAAAUCGGUUUUCCUUUGAGGAUGAGGAGCUACAGAAAAUGAAAAGCUUACACUUUUUUAAUCCAGCGACAAUACUCAACAAUAGUUUGAAAGCAAAGCUACCAUCUAUUGCACAUUUAGGGCAAAUGUUUCCAGGAUUGUGUUCGCAAGAUAUGACGGAGCUAGACCGCGAAUGGCGGCUUCUCCGGAACAUGAAAUUUCCCUUCAAAGAGGAGGAAGCGGUACCGCCCGAAGACUUUUGGCGUUAUGUUUCAAACGUAAAAAAUGGAAAUUCAACCCAGACGGAGCUAACCCAAAAUUUGCUUGUUUUGCCACAUAGCAGUGCUAAUGUUGAGCGUUUAUUUUCAGAAAUUAAUUUAAUUAAGACAAAUAAUAGAAACAAAUUAGACACGGAGACUUUAAAAGGAUUGCUUCACACCAAAAGUGGAUUAAAGGAAAACUUAGAGCCUUCUGACAAGCACUUUAAAUAUUUUAAUCAAAAUAUGUACAAAUUUUUGUAAGCCAUGUAAAUAAAUUAAAAUGUAUAAUUUGAAUAUUGUUAAGUUUAAAAAACAGUACGUAGAUCUCCGUAUUUCAGUAAAGUUGUGCUACGGAAAAACACGUAGAUUUUGGAGCCGGGCUACGUAAUUCUCAAAUUUUGACUUGGCAUCCCUGCUACAUACAUAUGUAUAUAAUUUUCUCAAAUUGACGUGAAAGUAAGGCGAUACUUACAUACAUAUGUAUGUACAUACAUGUACAUACAUAUGUAUGCCAAUUGAGACUAAUCGAUGGUUUUUGGAACAGUGAGCAUAAUAAAUUACAAAGCAGUUUGCUCAAGACAAAAGAUGAAAUCAGAAGCGGAUACAAACUCAUCGAUACAUCGUCAGCGACAGUCACAAAGAAAACACAUACCUACAUACUUGCAUACAUAUGUAUGUAUGUAUGUAUGUAUAUCAAGUGUUGAAGAAACGAUGACCAGAAAAUGAAAGACCGAAAGAAGAAAGUGAGUUGCGCAAUAAUUACGUCAUCACAUUAAAUGCGUCGACGGUCGUAGCGUAAACAUCACUAAAAUAGCAGGUAUGUACAUAUGUACAUAUGUGUGUAUGUAUGUAUUGGGGAACUGAAAAAACGCAAGUGCGACCACAGAGUUUUGGGGUUGGACCCGCAUACGUACAUAUGUACAUAUGUAUGUAAGUAUGUACAUACAGUGGCUCACACCUUAUUUCGUGCAGCAGCAUAGUAAAACUUUGAAACCGUAUUCCCGUUAAACCAGUAAAGAUAUCCCAAAAAUUGAAAUGAGGUCUUAUUUAUUGGAUAUUCAUUAUGUAUUGACGCACUUAAUUAUGUUUCUAUUAUAAUUACAUAAUAAAAUUUAAAACUAAAGAAAACUAAAAAA